rnacentral:rRNA from 1 species
AUUGAACGCUGGCGGCAGGCCUAACACAUGCAAGUCGAGCGAGCGGCGGACGGGUGAGUAACGUCUGGGAAACUGCCUGAUGGAGGGGGAUAACUACUGGAAACGGUAGCUAAUACCGCAUACCAUCAGAUGUGCCCAGAUGGGAUUAGCUAGUUGGUGGGGUAAUGGCUCACCCAGGCGACGAUCCCUAGCUGGCCUGAGAGGCUGACCAGCCACACUGGAACUGAGACACGGUCCAGACUCCUACGGGAGGCAGCAGUGGGGAAUAUUGCGCAAUGGGCGAAAGCCUGAUGGAGCCAUGCCGCGUGUGUGAAGAAGGCCUUCGGGUUGUAAAGCACUUUCAGCGGGGAGGCGGUACCUGCAGAGGAAGCACCGGCUAACUCCGUGCCAGCAGCCGCGGUAAUUC